rnacentral:rRNA from 1 species
UACGAAGGGUGCAAGCGUUAGUCGGAAUUACUGGGCGUAAAGCGUGCGUAGGCGGUCUCUUAAGUCCGUUGUGAAAGCCCUGGGCUCAACCUGGGAACUGCAGUGGAUACUGAGAAGCUAGAGUGUGUCAGAGGAUGGUGGAAUUCCCGGUGUAGCGGUGAAAUGCGUAGAUAUCGUAAGGAAGACCAGUGGCGAAGGCGGGGUCUCUGGACAGUUCCUGACGCUGAGGCACGAAGGCCAGGGGAGCAAACGGG